rnacentral:rRNA from 1 species
AUUGAACGCUGGCGGCAGGCUUAACACAUGCAAGUCGAGCGGGGGAAGGUAGCUUGCUACCGGACCUAGCGGCGGACGGGUGAGUAAUGCUUAGGAAUCUGCCUAUUAGUGGGGGACAACAUCUCGAAAGGGAUGCUAAUACCGCAUACGUCCUACGGGAGAAAGCGGGGGAUCUUCGGACCUUGCGCUAAUAGAUGAGCCUAAGUCGGGUUAGCUAGUUGGUGGGGUAAAGGCCUACCAAGGCGACGAUCUGUAGCGGGUCUGAGAGGAUGAUCCGCCACACUGGGACUGAGACACGGCCCAGACUCCUACGGGAGGCAGCAGUGGGGAGUAUUGGACAAUGGGGGAACCCUGAUCCAGCCAUGCCGCGUGUGUGAAGAAGGCCUUAUGGUUGUAAAGCACUUUAAGCGAGGAGGAGGCUACUCUAGUUAAUACCUAGGGAUAGUGGACGUUACUCGCAGAAUAAGCACCGGCUAACUCUGUGCCAGCCGCCGCCGUAA